GAUCCUGGGCUCAGGAUGAACGCUGGCGGCGCGCCUAACACAUGCAAGUCGAACGGCACCCCUCUCCGGAGGGAAGCGAGUGGCGAACGGCUGAGUAACACGUGGAGAACCUGCCCCCUCCCCCGGGAUAGCCGCCCGAAAGGACGGGUAAUACCGGAUACCCCGGGGUGCCGCAUGGCACCCCGGCUAAAGCCCCGACGGGAGGGGAUGGCUCCGCGGCCCAUCAGGUAGACGGCGGGGUGACGGCCCACCGUGCCGACAACGGGUAGCCGGGUUGAGA
rnacentral:rRNA from 1 species